UGCAUCCUUCGGGGCAGGGUGAAAAUCCCGACCGGCGGUGAUGGGGCAAUUUGGCCCCUCAGCCCGUGACCCGCACGCGUGCGGUGGAUUCGGUGAAAUUCCGGAGCCGACAGUAUAGUCUGGAUGGGAGAAGGAUGAA
rnacentral:ncRNA from 1 species